GAUGAACGCUGGCGGCGUGCCUAAUACAUGCAAGUCGAGCGAACAGACGCGGAGCUUGCUCCUCUGACGUUAGCGGCGGACGGGUGAGUAACACGUGGAUAACCUACCUAUAAGACUGGGAUAACUUCGGGAAACCGGAGCUAAUACCGGAUAAUAUAUUGAACCGCAUGGUUCAAUAGUGAAAGACGGUUUUGCUGUCACUUAUAGAUGGAUCCGCGCCGCAUUAGCUAGUUGGUAAGGUAACGGCUUACCAAGGCAACGAUGCGUAGCCGACCUGAGAGGGUGAUCGGCCACACUGGAACUGAGACACGGUCCAGACGCCUACGGGAGGCAGCAGUAGGGAAUCUUCCGCAAUGGGCGAAAGCCUGACGGAGCAACGCCGCGUGAGUGAUGAAGGUCUUCGGAUCGUAAAACUCUGUUAUUAGGGAAGAACAAAUGUGUAAGUAACUAUGCACGUCUUGACGGUACCUAAUCAGAAAGCCACGGCUAACUACGUG
rnacentral:rRNA from 1 species